GUCGAGAAUCUUCCGCAAUGCGCGAAAGCGUGACGGAGCGACACCGCGUGAUGGAUGAAGUCCUUCGGGGCGUAAACAUCUUUUAUAAAGGAGGAAAUUUUUGACGUUACUUUAUGAAUAAGGGGCUCCCAAUCUCGUGCCAGCAGGAGCGGUAAUACGAGAGCCUCAAGCGUUAUCCGGAAUCAUUGGGCGUAAAGGGUGCGUAGGUGGUUUGAUUAGUCUCCCGUUAAAACUUCGAGCUUAACUCGAAAAGAGCGGGGGAAACGGUCAAACUAGAGUAUGUGAGAAGUGUGUGGAACUCAUGGUGUAGGGGUGAAAUCCGUUGAUAUCAUGGGGAACACCAAAAGCGAAGGCAGCACACUGGCACAUCACUGACACUGAGGCACGAAACCUAAGGUAGCGAAUGGGAUUAGAUACCCGGGUAGUCC
rnacentral:rRNA from 1 species